rnacentral:lncRNA from 1 species
UUUUAUGUUUGGAACAGAUGAGUAUUCGUAUCAGUCGAUCGUAAUAGAAAAUAUAUUCAGCCCUAUUCCCAUUUUGUUUCCAACUCUCUAUUCCCUCGUUUCACAAUCCAUUGUUGAAGGCAGUCCUCUUUCCUCUUUGUGCCACUGCCGAUCUACCAUCUCAGUCACUGCUUUCUGUGAACAUAUCUACUGUUAGGGACCAGUUGGAAUACACAAAUUAUGAAGACCUAGGGUUUUAAUUCCAAGUGAAGAAAGGGGAUCAGAGAAUUGUCGCGGUAUUGAUGGUUCUCGUCAACGUUGAUAGAUCAAUUGAUACAGGAAUCGGCGGUGAUGAUCAAAGGAUAUUAUUAUGCAUGGGCCGGAAGGUGAGCAGCAUAGGUCACACCGUCGGCACAUGUGGCCGGUGCCCGCUUCCACCACGUCGUAUGUAGCCGCAAUCGAUUUCAAUCCGAUUACUCCCUAUUCUUUCUUCAAGGUUAAUUUAUUUAUUUAUCUUCAAUCCGCCGCUCAUCCAAAAGUUUCUGAUACUCUAUGUUUUUAUCAAUGUUAUCAAGGGAGAGGGAUGGCGAGCUGUUGAUUUUGGUGAAAUUGGUGAUUUUGUCUUGAUAUAUUGAUUUUGUGAUUGUAUGUUUUUAUACUUUUCAUGCUUUUUCUAUCUGUGUUUGCAUUUUUUAUGUGUAGGAGAAUUUGUCAUUCUCUGUUGAAUUCGGGGAUUGAAUUGUUUUUUGACCCCACAUUUGAACUAGAUAGUAAAAUAAUGAAAUAUUUGUCUGUCAACUUUUUUGCAAUGGCUGAUUAUUAGCCUUUUAGAGAUAUUACCUUGAAGCCUGAACCUACGUGCUUCUUAGAUUGCUAUAAUUUGUUGGUCUUCAAGGUGAUCCUCCCUGUCUAGCUGGUCUGAUAAUUCUUUUGAUUUGUCACGAGGUUUGGGCUCAAGGAAAAACUUCGUAUGCAAGACUGCGAAUUGAUAAUACUCAGAUUUAUGUUAAUCGUGUUUUCUUUUCUACAUAAAAUUCAUCCUUUGAUUUCUUUGCUGUUUUGAAAGUGAAUUUCGACCUUGUAGGUCUUUUGUUUUUUUUUGAAUGAAUUUGGGAAUUUGCAAUGACGGAAAAUUAAAGGGGUUGGCACGGUAAGUUUUGUCUGUUUAGCACUAUAAACUGAUAGGGGCAUUAAAUAGGGACACCUAUAUGAGACUGAACUCAGAAUGCCCUACCCUCUGCAAACAUAUAGUUUGGUCCUGCAGUAGAUUUUAACUUCUUUUUGUCUUUAGAAGAUACCAAGUUUUUGUGAAACAUUCUUUUUGCAUACAAUUGUUGUGGAUGGUUCUGCAGUAGAUUUUAACUUCUUUUAAUUGGGAGUAUUUGUUAAUUUCCCAGGCUUUGGAUUUCACUUCAGUUUAUUUUCAUCGAGUAUCCGAGUUCGUACUUGAUAAGGUUUACUUGUGAAAUAAACUUUUUAGCCUCUGUUUGUGAAAUAAGAGGAUGUCAAUCUGUGUUUAAAUGGUUUGGCAAGUAUCUCUGUUGUAUUUGUUUCCAGAUGUCUGGCAUGAAUAGUAGAGCUUUUGAAAAGGCAUCUAUCGCAAGUUUGAAGAGUUUUUGCUCUGCACAUUAUUUACAAGUUUCUGAAUUAUGAAUAUCAUGUUGUUAUAUUUUUCUUCUUUAAGUUUCUGAUUAUUUGUGUGAUGUGGCAGUUCUGUUUGUGUUUGAUGGUAGUUCUAUUUGGAUUUGGUUCUUUGUGUUCUGUUAUGAAAUAGGCACAUCAAAUUUGGGCAAGGGAGUAAGCUAAUAUAUGACCAGAUAUCACAGAUCUAUCUUAAUCAAAAGAAGCUGUUUGAUCAAAAGCUUGGAGGUAGGUGAUAGUUGUGAUUUUUUGAGGUUAAUUAAUCUAUCAACUUCUUAUAAAUCUUUUCUUUCGAAAUUACAGUCAAUAGCAAAUUGCCAUAACUAGACGUGUUGCCAAAGUAGUUUUUUUUUUCAUUCCCCCCCAAAAGUUUCUGCUAGACCUUCAUCUCAUGUGCUAUGCCCUAUUGCUGAUGUUGAUGUUAGAUGAUAUGUAUAAAAAAUCUAUAUGUUUAUAUACAGAUUACACCUAAUAAUUUGUGAACUCGUCCAAUUAUAUUUUGUAACUUAAUACAAAAUUAUGAUUCCAAGUCUGAGUCUUGAUACAGAGACAUUACUUGUAAGGUUUAGGUCAUUUGUAUUACUUAGUAAUAGGUCAUUUUUAUUAGUCGAGUAUGGACUGAUACACACUGAGAAAAAAACAGUAGAUGUGUUGGAAUGAGGGGCAACCUAAUUAGGCAACCAUCUAGCUAAUUUAUUUUCAUAAUGCUUGUAACUAUAAAUCUUGUAACUGCAAAUCUUGUAACUCAAUUCAUGAUGGGUAGGUGAGAGAGAAUUCAAGAUGGGUAACUACAAAUCUUUUUUUUUGUGUGAUUAUUUUCGCACAAUCCUACCAUAUGAAGACCGUGAACGAGUGCUAGUUUUUCCUUUUCUAUCUGAAACUUGUCCGAAUAUUCAGGUACAACUGAAUUGCUUUUGUUUCAAUGGGAAUAAGCAAUCGAUUAACUUUAAUACUUUCUUGGACUGCUAUUGUGCCAUCCACUGUUGCACUGUAAAUGACAUUGUGGAUUCUGAUGAGAGCUUACAAAAUUCUUUGUUUUCUUAUUCUUCGUCUUAUUGAAAUUGAAUUUUGGUGUUUUUAUUGCAGCAUGAAGUCUUAUUGAAAUUGAAUUUUGGUGUUUCUAUUGCAGCAUGAAGUUUACAUACCCAACCUUGAUUUUCUUGAAGAAAAUGAUGAUGAAGUGGAUCUAACAUGUCACACUUUAUUCCUUCUAGUUCAUUGUAAAUUCUUUCAGUUUUUUUAUGUUAGUUAAUAAAUUUUGUAGGUACUAUGGUCUUUGUGAGACCAAGAUACAAUGACAAAUUUUGUAGUUAUUGUGACUCGAGUAUUAUGAUUUAUUUAUAUGAAAGUUUUGAUUUUAUUAGCUCUUUA